rnacentral:rRNA from 1 species
AUGGCUCAUCCGGAUGCGAUAGCCCUGUCGCUCGGUAGGGCCUGGUGUCCGAUCAAGGGCAUUAGCCGCAAAGAGAUUGGGGUGAAUCGCUUCCUAUUCACCUUUCACCAAGAAUCAGGGAAGAGGAAGGCGCUAGAGAAUGGCCCAUGGAUGUUCGAUAAGGAAUUGGUAGUGGUGGAUGACUACGAUCCAAGCAAGCGGCCGGAGGAUUAUACCUUCAAUGACAUACCCAUAUGGGUUAGGAUUUUCAAUCUCCCCCUUGGAAUGAUGAAUGAAGAAUCUGCUGAGGAGAUCAGCAAUAUAGUGGGGCAGUUUGUGGAGUCAGACACUGGAGCCGAUGGGAAUGCCAUCGGCCGUUUUCUGAGGAUUAAGGUCAGGAUGCGAAUUGACAAGCCUCUUAUGCGUGGAUUUACUCUAGAUGAUGGGGUGGAAGACGAGGUUAACAGAAACGGGAAGGAGAAAAAGGGAGGUAAGGAGGGUGAGGAGGAUGACAAGGGUUGGUGCCGUUUUGAGUACGAGUACCUUCCAGAUUUUUGCUACCGAUGUGGGGUGAUUGGACACUGCGAUAGGGAUUGUUCACUCAAGGAGAAGUGGGGAGAGAAGCAGCAGUUUGGCAGGUGGUUGAAGGCGGAUAUGGGACUUAAACGAGGAGGGGCUGAGGAUGGCCUAUGGAGAGGGAGUGGGAGGAAUUUGGGAGGGUCUCGUAGCUAUGGCUUUAGCCGCUUGUCCGGCCGCUCCGGAGGGAGGGGGGAAGUGACAAUCUGUCGUGGAGGAAGAAUGACUCUAGGUCGAGAAUGGAGGGGGAGGAGGAGAAGUUAG